UACGUAGGGGGCGAGCGUUGUUCGGAAUUACUGGGCGUAAAGGGCGCGUAGGCGGCCUUCUAAGUCAGACGUGAAAUCCCCCGGCUUAACCUGGGAACUGCGUCUGAUACUGGGAGGCUCGAGUAUGGGAGAGGGAUGUAGAAUUCCAGGUGUAGCGGUGAAAUGCGUAGAUAUCUGGAGGAAUACCGGUGGCGAAGGCGGCAUCCUGGACUAUUACUGACGCUGAAUCGCGAAAGCUAGGGGAGCAAACGGG
rnacentral:rRNA from 1 species